UACAGAGGUCUCAAGCGUUGUUCGGAUUCAUUGGGCGUAAAGGGUGCGUAGGCGGCUUUGCAAGUGGCGGGUGAAAUCCCUCGGCUUAACCGAGGAACUGCCUGUCAAACUGCAUGGCUUGAGACCAGGAGAGGUGAGUGGAAUUCCCAGUGUAGCGGUGAAAUGCGUAGAUAUUGGGAGGAACACCAGUGGCGAAGGCGGCUCACUGGACUGGUACUGACGCUGAUGCGCGAAAGCGUGGGGAGCAAACAGG
rnacentral:rRNA from 1 species